UGUACGCUAUGAGCCUUAAGAAACAAAGAAUGAUGAGAGUGGAGAAUUCCUAUCCUUGUCUAGAAUAUCCUUGGGUAUGGGAUGCUUGACCCAGUUGCUCAAGGUAUUUGCCUUUGUUCAUAUAGUGCAAUUUGAAUCAUCCAAUUAACAAGUCUUCUUCAAGCAAGCAUCAACCAUUUAACACUUCAACAAUGAAGCAUCAUUGUAC
rnacentral:lncRNA from 1 species